rnacentral:rRNA from 1 species
GCUUGUCUCAAAGAUUAAGCCAUGCAUGUCUAAGUAUAAGCCUUUACACGGUGAGACUGCGAAUGGCUCAUUAAAUCAGAAACUGUUUAUUUGAUAGUCCCUUACUACUUGGAUAACCGUAGUAAUUCUAGAGCUAAUACAUGCGUCAAUACCCUUCUGGGGUAGUAUUUAUUAGAUUGAAACCAACCGCUUCGGCGUGAUGUGGUGAUUCAUAAUAAAUUUGCGAAUCGCAUGGCUUUACGCCGGCGAUGGAUCAUUCAAGUUUCUGACCUAUCAGCUUCCGACGGUAGGGUAUUGGCCUACCGUGGCAAUGACGGGUAACGGAGAAUUAGGGUUCGAUUCCGGAGAGGGAGCCUGAGAAACGGCUACCACAUCUAAGGAAGGCAGCAGG